AUUUAAUAGAUAUUUUCAAACUGCAGCUUUAAAAUAAAGCAAUGGUAUUUACUUAUUUCAAAAUUAUAGUCAGCUACGCUGUAUUUCUUUUUUUUUUUCCAGUAUAUAUUCAUAUGUGAUCAUUCCCAGAUAUAAUGAAUUACAAAAUCUCGGUAUCAUAUGCCCAGCAUAUCCAGAUCUGACAGAUAGACCCUAUCUGAAAUUAUUUUCUGUUUCUAGUGCAUUGCCCCUGUU